CCUACGGGUGGCAGCAGUGGGGAUAUUGCACAACGGGCGCAAGCCUGAUGCAGCGACGCCGCGUGAGCGAAGAAGUAUUUCGUUAUGUAAAGCUCUAUCAGCAGGGAAGAAAAUGACGGUCCCUUACUAAGCAGCUCCGGCUAAAUACGUGCCAGCAGCCGCGGUAAUACGUAUGGAGCAAGCGUUAUCCGGAUUUACUGGGUGUAAAGGGAGCGUAGGCGGCCCUGUAAGUCUGAUGUGAAAAUUUGGGGCGAAACCCCAAGCGUGCAUUGGAAACUGCAGGGCUUGAGUGCCGGAGAGGCAGGCGGAAUGCGUAGUGUAGCGGUGAAAUGCGUAGAUAUUAGGAGGAACACCAGGGGCGAAGGCGGCCUGCUGGACGGUAACUGACGCUGAGGCUCGAAAGCGUGGGGAGCAAACAGGAUUAGAUACCCCAGUAGUC
rnacentral:rRNA from 1 species